rnacentral:tRNA from 1 species
AGGGGUGUCGCCAAGUGGUAAGGCCCCGGGUUUUGAUCCCGGUAUCGUAGGUUCGAAUCCUGCCACCCCUGCCA